GGGCCUAUAGCUCAGUUGGUUAGAGCGCAUCCCUGAUAAGGAUGAGGUCGGAGGUUCAAGUCCUCCUAGGCCCA
rnacentral:tRNA from 1 species